GGGAGCGUAAGCUAACAAAAACGCAUCGAACGCCUGCGCUUGAGACGCAGCCCAGACAUCAAAGUGCAGCCUCAGAUUUCCCUGCCCUGAUUACAUGCCAGCAACUUCAUGAGGUCAGGAAGAACUGUCCCGGUUAGGAAAGUGAACAAAGACGGUGUUCUGCUCUGGGCUUGCAGGAAGACUGUGAUAGAGAAAUUGAACACAUCUCUUGUCAAUACUCUGCCGGUACCCUGACCCACUGCAUCAUGCUUCUUUCCAUUUGCACACUGUUUGUUUGCUAAUAAAAAUUAAUACAGAAUGUUCCCACCUGAAGACAUCUCAGCUGUCAAAAUACAGUACUAAAUG